AUGAACGCUGGCGGCGUGCCUCAUCCAUUCCAGUCGCGCGAACAGACGAGGAGCUUGCUCCUCUGACGUUAGCGGCGGACGGGUGAGUAACACGUGGAUAACCUACCUAUAAGACUGGGAUAACUUCGGGAAACCGGAGCUAAUACCGGAUAAUAUAUUGAACCGCCUGGUUCAAUAGUGAAAGACGGUUUUGCUGUCACUUAUAGAUGGAUCCGCGCCGCAUUAGCUAGUUGGUAAGGUAACGGCUUACCAAGGCGACGAUGCGUAGCCGACCUGAGAGGGUGAUCGGCCACACUGGAACUGAGACACGGUCCAGACUCCUACGGGAGGCAGCAGUAGGGAAUCUUCCGCAAUGGGCGAAAGCCUGACGGAGCAACGCCGCGUGAGUGAUGAAGGUCUUCGGAUCGUAAAACUCUGUUAUUAGGGAAGAACAAAUGUGUAAGUAACUAUGCACGUCUUGACGGUACCUAAUCAGAAAGCCACGGCUAACUACGUG
rnacentral:rRNA from 1 species